AAUAGAUACCCAGGUAGUCCACGCUGUAAACGUUGGGCGCUAGGUGUGGGGGGCCUCUCCGGUUCCCUGUGCCGCAGCUAACGCAUUAAGCGCCCCGCCUGGGGAGUACGGCCGCAAGGCUAAAACUCAAAAGAAUUGACGGGGGCCCGCACAAGCGGCGGAGCAUGCGGAUUAAUUCGAUGCAACGCGAAGAACCUUACCUGGGUUUGACAUGCACCAGACAUCCCUAGAGAUAGGGCUUCCCUUGUGGUUGGUGUGCAGGUGGUGCAUGGCUGUCGUCAGCUCGUGUCGUGAGAUGUUGGGUUAAGUCCCGCAACGAGCGCAACCCUCGUUCCAUGUUGCCAGCGCGUAAUGGCGGGGACUCAUGGGAGACUGCCGGGGUCAACUCGGAGGAAGGUGGGGAUGACGUCAAGUCAUCAUGCCCCUUAUGUCCAGGGCUUCACACAUGCUACAAUGGCCGGUACAGAGGGUUGCGAGACCGUGAGGUGGAGCGAAAUCCCUUAAAGCCGGUCUCAGUUCGGAUCGGGGU
rnacentral:rRNA from 1 species